rnacentral:lncRNA from 1 species
UUUUUUUUUUUUUUUUUUUUGAGACAAGGUCUUGCUCUGUUGGCCAGGCUGGAGUGCAAAGGCACAAUCACGGCUCACUGCAGCCUCAACCUCCUGAACUCAAGCAAUCUUCCCACCUCAACCCCCAAGUAGCUGGGACUAUAGGUGUUGCUACCACACCCAGCUAAUUUUUCUAUUUUUAGUAGAGACUGGGUUUCACCAUGUUGGCCAGGCUGUUCUGGAACUCCUGGCCUUAAGUGAUCCACCUGCCUCAUGAGAAUGAUACUCUAUUUAAUUUCGGUAAAGUCAUUUGUAAUACUCUUAAUAAAUAAGUACUCACUAAAUAUUGGUUAAAUUGUUCACUACUUUUUAUUUCCUUCACCCAUAAGUUGGAGGAAUUAAGCACUUGUAGGGUAUUUUUAUGGCACUUUCUUUUCCAUUGCAAGUUUUUCAUAUUUAAUAAUAAAACUUUUCAUUUAUAAAGUGCUUCACAAUGUUCAAAGCAGUUUUGCCUACAUUAUGUACUAGAAGUCAUCAUGAAAUUUCUUAUUCUCAUAAUCUCAGAAACUUUACAGUCAUUUCAAUUAUCCCUAUUAAAGAAGACAAAACAAAAAUUCAGCUAACAUAAAGUUAUCUAUAUACUGUAUACUAUAAAAAUAUCAGUGACACUUACUUGUUCUUUUUUUAAUGCCUCCUUCCUAAUUCUUACCUUAAACACUUGGAGACAACUCCCAAUUUAUAAUUUACAUCAAGCUAAAAUAAAAUAUUUUAAAAACACCAUGUCCAAAAUUAUAAUAAUUUAACAAAUAACAGUUCUAUAAUGAAUAUUAACUAUAAUAUUUGUAGCGGUGUUAGUGAAUAAUAUAUGAGUACUUCUCAUAAAAUUUAGAGCUAGUAGUUUCCAUGAGGAUUGCUUGAAACUUGGAAUACAUUUUCCAGGCUGGAAUGCAGUGGCACAAUCAUGGCUCACUGCAGCCUCAAACUCCUAGGCUCAAGCAAUCCUCCACCUCAGCCUCCCAAGUUGCUGGGAUUACACGUGUUAGCCACCAUACCCGGCCAUCUUGUUUUCAAAGAUUGUACAGAUAUUUUGGUUCUUCAAAGAAGUAGCUGGGCAAAUAUGGGGGGAAAAAUUAGGCCUUAACCAUUUUCUAUGUAACAUGGUAAAAAAAUUUUUUUUAAAUUUCUAAUAGGCAAAAUGAUUAAAAGUGCAAAAUCAUCCUUACUUCAUGUAAUUCCCUCCUUUUUUUUUUCAACUCCAUUCACCAAAAGAGUAACAGCUCUGAAAAUCUAUAAAACCCAAUCUAGAUGAUUUUAAUAUCAUUAAAGCAUUUUGGGAAAAUAAUCCCUUUCACUGCUAUAUUUAGGUGCAAUGAGCCAAUGAUACAAGUAUACAGUUGGAUAUUAAUACAGCUAGAAAAUAGUGAGUACUACUACAAACAGUCACCAGAUUUAUAACUUUGUUUUGUGUGUACACAUUUAGUUUUAUUGUAACAAAGCAACUUGUCCACUUUUAACCUUUAAAAACUGAACCUCAUCUUUCCAGUGAAACAAAAAGAAAAUUUAAAAAUAAACAGGAAAAAAAUUACAAUAGAGAAUGUCAAUUUCAAAUAAGAUCCUACAGGCUUUGCUGAUUCUCCCAUUGAGUGGCAGGGCUCAAGUCAUCAUUAGGAGAGAAUUUAUUUUAAAAAGUGUCAUCUUAAACUGCAAAGGAUGUCUGUCAAAUAUGACAAUUAAACAUGCAAAAGGAGAAGCCAUGUUGUCAAAAUGCCCACUUAACCCACCCGAACAUCUCAAACCCACCCUGUGCUGACCUUCUGUAAACCCAUUUUUUUAAGGUUUUGUUUUCUGUUUUUGUUUUUUUUAAACAAGAGAAAGUAGACAGAUACAUGUUGGUAAAUGCCAAAUGUCCAUAUUCACACAGAGACACAGUGUACUCUCUGAGCUGAAUAUACAGAGAAAGGAGGAAAAAAGCUAGAAUUCUGGGCACUGCCACACAGGGGCCUCACACCUUCCAGUUUCCAGCAGAGACAAGGGAGCAGGUUUUUCUUUUUUUCGACAGAGCUCAGCGGUGUUGAUUCCACACAGUUUUUGUUCAGACAGGAAGGGAUAAAAAUGAACAGAAAGGGGUAGAGACUCUUUUCCCACUGUAUUCUGCUCUAGGUAUUUCCCCCAAAUAAGGUGAGAACCAUGAUACAGAGAAAAGAGAUCUCAAGAACAGGGCGACUGAGCACAAGAGGAAAACAAACAACAAACAAAAAACAAAACAAACCCUGCAACUUGCUCCCAGGGACUGGAGAAAAUUUUUAAAAAGGAAGGUCGGAAUCCAUCAGUGUUCUAUUAGUCAUCUUCUCCUUCAUCCUUCUCUCCUUCCUCCCCUUCAUCAUCAUCUUCAUCUUCUUCAUUUUCCUCUUCAUCCCCUUCUAAUCAGUAUCUUCUAAUCCGUCCUCCUCUUCAUCAUCAUCAUCUUCUUCUCCUUCUUCAUCAUCCACAUCGGGAACCAAGUAGUACUGUAAUGGGCUUGGCCAAAUAUCAUCUUUGAUGACCUCUCCUAACUCAUCAGCACCUGCAUCAGAAUGGUCAGUAAACCAGGUAAAGAAGCUCCCUGGUUCCUCAUGCUGCUUCUUCCUGCCGGCUUUAUUCUGCGUUUGACUUGAACGCUUUGUCAAAUCCUUUCCAGAUUUCCAUUUGAUUGCAGUGGACUUUAAAGAUGGAUCACCACUCUCAUUCAGAUGAAAUUCUUUGGACAGAACUUUAUUUUCAAAGUAAGGAUUUUGAUCAAAAUAAAAAUCUAUUCCGUAACCUGAUUAAAUAUAUUCAAAUUCUGUCACUUCAACUCUGCUCAAAUAAUGCAGUGCCGCUUCCUCCUCCUCCCCAAGCAGUGCAGACACCUGUGGAUGGUUGAUAAAUGUUGUUAUCCAAAAAUGUGGGAUUUUGGUGAUCAAUUCUGAUCUCUUCUGAAAAAAAUGGUUAGCGGAGUUUGUUACAUUUCUGUUCUGCUUUCAAAAUCUCCUCACUGGCUUGUUCAUUAAGUCUGUUUGUUUCAUUUUGGAUUUCAUCAAUGUGUUCAAUUGCUUCCUGCUGUUUUCCUGAGGUCUCGUCAGCCCUGUAGUGGCUGGAGUUGAGCUCCUUUUUACUGACUUUGGCAGCGGAUGCCGAUCUGGCGCGGUUG